GGAAGGAUCAUUAUCGAAAUGCCUAUGACAGAGCUGUCGCUGGCCUUCUGGCCGUGCACGCUCUGUCCUUCUUCAUUUCUCCAUCUACUUGUGCACUCGCUCACAUGGAUCUCAUUGUCUGAGGGGUUUCCCUUGGAUCAUUAGGACUGCUUUGCGAAAAAACAUCAUUUUUUUUCGUGGGCUUUCCUUGUUCUUCCAUGUCUUUCUUCACAUACCCCAGUGUAACAACCAUGAAAUAGAUGAAUUUUUAUGCAUAAUACAACUUUCAGCAACGGAUCUCUUGGCUCUCGCAUCGAUGAAGAACGCAGCGAAAUGCGAUAAGUAAUGUGAAUUGCAGAAUUCAGUGAAUCAUCGAAUCUUUGAACGCAUCUUGCGCUCCUUGGUAUUCCGAGGAGCAUGCCUGUUUGAGUGUCGUUAAUAUCUCAACCGCACCAUUGGGGGUGUGGCUUGGAUUUGGGGGUUAUGCAGGCUCUGGCUUGUAGUCUGCUCCCCUGAAAUGCAUGAGUGGUUGAACCCUCUGUUAGGUGUGAUAAUUAUCUGCAUCUGAUGGAAAGGUCAUGGCUGCUUAUAUGUCGUCGGAUUUGAUAAAC
rnacentral:rRNA from 1 species